AGUCAAACCGAUCGAUACGGAACUGUGCGGUAUAGCCGUGAUGAUUUUCUUUUGCCUCUAUCGUUACCGAAUGGGUUAUCCCUUUGAUCGUAAGCUCUCCUUUAAUCAUGUAAUUCCCUGACUUUAUGUGCUCUGCAUUAGUUAUGUUAAACCGGGCAUCGGGGUAUUUGGAUGUAUCAAAAUCCUCAUUCAGAUGUGCGGUCAGGUUUUUUCUUGGCAUCGGAUCACUCAACGGAAUGUCAGUGUUGUAAAUGGUUCUCAUAUCUGCAAUGAAAGCCCCUCCCAC
rnacentral:misc_RNA from 1 species